GGACGGUCUCCAACCGGGGACCCGGCCCCUCCACCUGGCCACCCUUGUCUAUCUCACCUGUUGCUUCGGCGGGCCUGCAGCGAUGCUGCCGGGGGAGCUCUUGGCUCUCCGGGCUCGCGCCCGCCGGGGACACCGUAGAAAACACUGGUUAAAGAUUGACGUCUGAGACUAUAACUGUAAUAAGUUAAAACUUUCAACAACGGAUCUCUUGGUUCCGACAUCGAUGAAGAACGCAGCGAAAUGCGAUAAGUAAUGUGAAUUGCAGAAUUCCGUGAAUCAUCGAAUCUUUGAACGCACAUUGCGCCCCCUGGUAUUCCGGGGGGCAUGCCUGUCCGAGCGUCAUUGCAACCCUCAAGCCCGGCUUGUGUGUUGGGCUCUCGUCCCCCGUGGACGUGCCCGAAAUGCAGCGGCGGCGUCGCGUACCGGUGCCCGAGCGUAUGGGGCUUUGUCACCCGCUUCAGAGGCCCGGCCGACUCCGGCCCAUUGAAAAAUCGGGGUGGGGGGGUCCUCGGACCCCUCUCCCCAAACCAGGUUGA
rnacentral:misc_RNA from 1 species